AGCUUCGUUGUGUAGUGGUUACACACUCGAUAUCGAUAGCAGCUUCCAACCAAGAUUCAUCGAGCGUCGUGGGUUCGAAUCCUGCCGAAGCCU